rnacentral:misc_RNA from 1 species
GGCGCAGAAGAACUCAGGCAAAAUCCAGUCUCCUUCGAUCCAAUUCAAAGUCCUCGUGGGAAAUGGUUAAAGAUUUGAUGAUUGAUGUUGAUAAGAGGGAUCUGCUUGCAGAUAGAGCUGAAAGCCUUUUGCUUUGCUUAAGACAACGGUUUCCUGGUCUUCCUCAGACCACCUUAGACAUGAGCAAGAUCCAACAUAACAAGGAUGUUGGUAAAUCUAUCCUGGAGAGCUACUCAAGAGUUCUUGAGAGCCUAGCAUUCAAUAUUGUGGCUCGUAUCGAUGAUCUUAUUUACGUGGAUAAUUUAACCAAGCUCUCAGACCAGUUUGUUCCAAUCUCCAAAGUAGGCAUCAUUUCUCAUAAAACCAUUGGAACUCCAAUCUCAGUACACAUCUCAGGUAGUCAGAUCAAAGCUCCUUUCACGACACCAAUCUCGUCUUCCCAGCAUAUUCGUCCAGC